rnacentral:tRNA from 1 species
GCCUGGGUGGCUCAGUUGGUUGAGCCUCUGACUUCAGCUCAGGUCAUGAUCUCGCAGUUCGUGAGUUCGAGCCCCGCAUCAGGCU